AAUUCGAUUUGGAGGGCAAGUCUGGUGCCAGCAGCCGCGGUAAUUCCAGCUCCAAUAGCGUAUAUUAAAGUUGUUGCAGUUAAAAAGCUCGUAGUUGAAUUUCGAGAUCAAAUUGUCGGUCGUGCCUCGGUACGUACUGGCAUUAUUGAUUUCUCCUUUCUGAAGAACCAUGAUGUCAUUAAUUUGGUGUCUUGGGGAAUCAGGACUGUUACUUUGAAAAAAUUAGAGUGCUCAAAGCAGGCCUAAGCCCGAAUACAUUAGCAUGGCAUAAUAAAAUAGGACGUCGGUUCUAUUUUGUUGGUUUCUAGAAUCGCCGUAAUGAUUAAUAGGGAUGGUUGGGGGCAUUUGUGUUCAGUUGCUAGAGGUGAAAUUCUUGGAUUUACUGAAGACAAACUUCUGCGAAAGCAUUUGCCAAGGAUGUUUUCAUUAAUCAGGGAACGAAAGUUAGGGGAUCGAAGACGAUCAGAUACCGUCGUAGUCUUAACCAUAAACUAUGCCGACUAGGGAUCGGAUGAUGUUAAUUUUUUAAUGACUCAUUCGGCGCCUUACGGGAAACAAUCACUAGUG
rnacentral:rRNA from 1 species